UGGGGGAGGCCGGAUCCUGGGCUGUGUCCCGGCGCCCUGUGCUCCGGGGCCUGCGCUGUUGGAUUCACGCUCGCGUUGGCGCAGCCCCCU
rnacentral:pre_miRNA from 1 species